AGCAUGUGGCUUAAUUUGACUCAACGCGGGAAAUCUUACCGGGUCCGGACACACUGAGGAUUGACAGAUAUACGCUGCGUUAUGUCUCUCACGGGACUGCGUGGCUCAAAGAUGCUAGUUCUUUCAUGAUUAUGUGAUAGGUGGUGCAUGGCCGUUCUUAGUUCGUGGAGUGAUCUGUCUGCUUAAUUGCGUAUCAAUAAUAGAGACCUAGUAUACGUGCAUUACUCAUGUGGUAGUGACCCCCUCUUCGCGGAGGCGCGUGUCGCACAUAUGGUAUGCGCACUGGUCUCAGAUAGCAACGAACGUGACCGUAUUCUAUUGUUGCAGUGAAUUAUACGUGCUGCUCUUUACCGAGUUAGUUACAUCCCACUGCUUAGUGUGCGCGGCGUAUUUCGGUACUCGCGUCACACAUUAAACUAUAGAGACCGCUGUUUCUUCUUUAAACCAGAGGAAGGAUACGGCAAUAACAGGUCUGUG
rnacentral:rRNA from 1 species